UACGAAGGGGGCUAGCGUUGUUCGGAAUCACUGGGCGUAAAGCGCACGCAGGCGGAUCGAUAAGUCGGGGGUGAAAGCCCUGAGCUAAACCUCGGAAUUGCCUUCGAUACUGUCGGUCUCGAGGCCGGGAGAGGUGAGUGGAAUUCCUAGUGUAGAGGUGAAAUUCGUAGAUAUUAGGAAGAACACCAGUGGCGAAGGCUGCUCACUGGUCCGGUACUGACGCUCAGGUGCGAAAGUGUGGGGAGCAAACCGG
rnacentral:rRNA from 1 species